rnacentral:tRNA from 1 species
GGCCAAUUAUCUCAGUUGAUUAGAGUUUGGUGCUGUUAACACCAAGGUCCUGGGUUCAAUCCCCAUGUAGGCCA